AGAUGUGCCAGCAGUCUGGCUGAGACAUCUGUCACCCUUUGUUCAUCAGCGCUGAGCCCACGGAUCCGACUGGUGAGGCGGACGUCUCCCCCUUCCUGCAGCUCCCCAUGUAGCCUCCCCUGAGGCUGCCUGUGUGGGUUCGCAGGCCAGCAAACAGGAAGGGAAGCCACAGACGCUGGUGAAGUUGAAUUAAGAAAAAGUAGUGAAUGAGAGGAGAGAGGGCCUCGGCUC
rnacentral:sRNA from 1 species